rnacentral:lncRNA from 1 species
AGCUCACCACAACAUAUAGGAACUUUAUAUUUCAGGUAAUAGCACAAAGCUUUUAUAUAUUUAUAUAUAUAUGGUUAUGUAACGUCAAAGAUUUGACAUCUUCCUAACAAUUACUCUGCAUUCGGGUUCAUAUAUUGUGUUGUUUUGUAGCAGUCUUUAGCAAAUGGCGAUACCAAAAAAGAAUUAAUAGUUCAGUAUAUCUUUUAUGAAUGAUCUUGUAACUUUGUGAUGAUGAUGAUAUGACUGGGAAGUUUGGUGGUUACUAAGGCCAUCUUCAAUGGGACUGCAAAACACUAUUUUAAUGUGAUUUUUACACUAAAUCCUCUCCAAUGGAACUGCAAAAAUCACACUAUUUUAGUGUAACACUAAAAUUUGACACCAAAUUUGGUGUGAUACUAUUCACCACACUAAAACACUAUUCAUCUCAUUAAAACACUAUUCACUUAUUUUAUUACUAAAACAUUCAAUUAAAU